UUUCUAACAGUUUCUGAUAAUUAAGAAAGUGAAGUCUGUGUAAAGUGCUUCCAGUCAAUUAUUGAUAAAUUUCAUAGAGUCAGCCAAAGUAUAUGAGCCUGUAUCUGCCCUCAAGAAGUUUUCAAUAAAGUUGUGAUGAAUUAUAUGAAUAAAAAUUGAAUAUUAGGUGGCCUCUAGAUAGUGUUCAAUAAUUGGGAAAGAAGUUAAAUGUAUUAAGAAAGCUUGUUAGUGUGUGUCUUAAUAUUGAAUUCAAAUGGUACCUUAGAUCUAACACACAUGAAUCAUAAGUUAUCAAAUUUCCAUUUUUGGUAGAGUUAAUGAAGACUAGCAGAGAGAGAAAUCCUUUCAUGGGUAUAAUGAAUGUUGGGUAUUUUUAUUGAAAGAACUUGGAUACAUUUCAAUUAGGACAGUGUUUCACUCCAAACUGAACUAAACUCUACUAGAGCCACAUGAACAAAGAAAGAUUUUUAGUGUGUGUGUGUGUGUGUGUGUGUGUGUGCACGCGCAUGCAUAAAAAGAGAUCUAAAGACCAGUCCGUGGUAUCUACAAUAUCACCAAUUACUCAAGCAUCUUUAUUGCCAUCUUUUCUCAUUUCUCAUGGUUAAAAUAUGGCUACUGGAUUCCCAGUCAUCAUAUUUGAGUACAAGAAAGUAGAAAGGAGAAAGCUGAAGGGCCAAGUGAUGAAAAGGCCUGCCAGUUUGCCUCUUUUAAGAAGCUUUCUCGAGGUUGAGAUGGCCGGCCUCCAGCCCUAGACACCGGGGCGGCAGGACGGCGAGGAUGUCGGCUUCCUUAGUCCGGGCCACUGUUCAGGCUGUGAGCAAGAGGAAGCUGCAGCCCACCCGGGCCGCCCUCACCCUGACACCUUCAGCGGUAAACAAGAUAAAACAACUUCUUAAAGAUAAGCCUGAACAUGUUGGUGUGAAAGUUGGUGUCCGAACCAGGGGUUGUAAUGGCCUUUCCUACACUUUAGAAUAUACAAAGACAAAAGGAGACUCUGAUGAAGAAGUUAUUCAAGAUGGAGUCAGAGUGUUCAUCGAGAAGAAAGCACAGCUAACACUGUUAGGAACAGAAAUGGACUAUGUUGAAGACAAAUUAUCCAGUGAGUUUGUGUUCAAUAACCCAAACAUCAAAGGAACAUGUGGCUGUGGAGAAAGCUUUAACAGUUGACUCCUCAGGACUGCUCGGGCUGCAGGCCCCAGGAGAGCUGUGGAAGCUCUACUGCUUAUUGAAGAAACCAUAUGACUAUCACAUGCUUAAGGUGUGUAGUGUAUGACUGCCUUCCAAGGAAAAUAAAGUGAUGCAUUUGAAAAUGAAAAA